rnacentral:rRNA from 1 species
CUGUUAUGGCUAGGGGGUCAUCGCGACUUACCAAACCAUUGCAAACUCCGAAUACCGAGACGGACUGUAUGGGAGACACACGGCGGGUGCUAACGUCCGUCGUGAAAAGGGAAACAACCCAGACCCACAGCUAAGGUCCCAAAUUCAGUGCUAAGUGGAAAACCAUGUGGAAAGGCACAGACAGCCAGGAGGUUGGCUUAGAAGCAGCCACCCUUUAAAGAAAGCGUAAUAGCUCACUGGUCGAGUCGGUCUGCGGGGAAGAUUUAACGGGGCUAAGCACUGAACCGAAGCUUGGGGUGCAUACUUUGUAUGCGCGGUAGAGGAGCGUUCCGUAAGCCUGCGAAGGUGGAUUGAGAAGUCCGCUGGAGGUAUCGGAAGUGCGAAUGCUGACAUGAGUAACGAUAAUGCGGGUGAAAAACCCGCACGCCGAAAGCCCAAGGUUUCCUUGCGCAACGUUAAUCGGCGCAGGGUGAGUCGGCCCCUAAGGCGAGGACGAAAGUCGUAGUCGAUGGGAAGCAGGUUAAUAU